UCCCCAUAAAUAUAAUAGUGUGCAUUCUUUUUUAUUAUUAUUAUAAAUUGUUGUCGUUACAUAUUGAAUUUGUAUUUGACUUGACUAAUCUCAGUGAUAGUGUGGUAGUGGCUUUCUUGCAACAAUGUACUUGAGGUCGAUAGACGAUCAAUGUGUGAGUAAAGAGCGAGUACAAAUAGUAUAGUGAUGAUAACAUUGGGUUCGAGAUGCUUGAGGUUGUAUUUUGUUGAAAAUACAAUAAAGAAUAAGAAAAAUUGUUACAAAUGUUAUAAAGAAGACAUUUAUUUAGUGAAUCAAUUAUAAUUUGUGUGGAAAUCUCAAAUUUUGAGUUAUCUAUAUACUUUCUUUCCAUGUAUAGUUAUUCUUCAUUAAUCUAAUCCUUAUAUUUAUAAUGAU